rnacentral:lncRNA from 1 species
CAUCGAUGUCGGCCUUGGGCAGGCUCACAUCCACAUCUGGACCUUCUCCUUUGAAGCCAGGCAUGCUGAAUUUGGGCAUUUUCACCUUGGGCAUCUUCAGGUGCCAGUCUGGGCCAUGAACAUCCACAUCUGGGGCAUCAAUGUCCACUUUGGGGCCCUUGAUGUCAACUUCAGGGGCCUUUAGAUCACCUUCCAUCUUAGGCAGAGAAACAUCCACAUCUCCUUUCACCUUAGGGCCUUUCAGAUGCAAAUCAAAGUCAGGCAUGGAGAUCUUGGGGGCUUUGAUGUUCAUCUCUGGCAUCUUGAAUUUAGGGCCCUUCAGUUUCGCAUCUGGACCUUCAAUAUUCACAUCUGGAACAUCAACGUCCACCUUGGGUCCUGAGACGUCAAGGUCAGCCUUGGGCAGGUUCACAUCCACUUCUCGGCCCUCUCCUUUGAAGCCAGGCAUGCUAAACUUGGGCAUUUUCAUCUUGGGCAUCUUCAGGUGCCAGUCUGGGCCUUGAACCUCCACAUCUGGGGCACUGACAUCUACUUUUGGGCCUUUCAGGUCCCCUUCCAG